rnacentral:rRNA from 1 species
CUGACUGCUAUCGGAUUGAUACUAAGCCAUGCGAGUCUUUGUAGUAAUACAAGGCAGACGGCUCAGUAACACGUAGUCAACCUACCCUAUGGACAAGAAUAAUCUCGGGAAACUGGGCAUAAUUCUUGAUAGAUCAUAAUGCCUGGAAUGGUUUAUGGUUAAAAUGAUUCGUCGCCAUAGGAUGGGACUGCGGCCUAUCAGCUUGUUGGUGAGGUAAUGGCCCACCAAGGCGAUUACAGGUACGGGCUCUGAGAGGAGAAGCCCGGAGAUGGGUACUGAGACACGGACCCAGGCCCUAUGGGGCGCAGCAGGCGAGAAAACUUUGCAAUGUGCGAAAGCACGACAAGGUUAAUCCGAGUGAUUUCUGCUAAAGAAAUCUUUUGCCAGUCAUAAAACCACUGGUGAAUAAGGGGUGGGCAAGUUCUGGUGUCAGCCGCCGCGGUAAAACCAGCACCUCAAGUGGUCAGGAUGAUUAUUGGGCCUAAAGCAUCCGUAGCCGGCUUUGUUAGUUUUCGGUUAAAUCCAUGUGCUCAACGCAUGGGCUGCCGAAAAUACUGCAUAGCUAGGGAGUGGGAGAGGUAGACGGUACUCAGUAGGAAGGGGUAAAAUCCUUUGAUCUAUUGAUGACCACCUGUGGCGAAGGCGGUCUACCAGAACACGUUCGACGGUGAGGGAUGAAAGCUGGGGGAGCAAACCGGAUUAGAUACCCGGGUAGUCCCAGCUGUAAACGAUGCAGACUCGAUGAUGCAUUGGCAUAAUAGCCAGUGCAGUGUCGCAGGGAAGCCGUUAAGUCUGCCGCCUGGGAAGUACGUACGCAAGUAUGAAACUUAAAGGAAUUGGCGGGGGAGCACCA